rnacentral:rRNA from 1 species
UACGAAGGGGGCUAGCGUUGCUCGGAAUCACUGGGCGUAAAGGGUGCGUAGGCGGGUCUUUAAGUCAGAGGUGAAAUCCUGGAGCUCAACUCCAGAACUGCCUUUGAUACUGAGGGUCUUGAGUAUGACAGAGGUGAGUGGAACUGCGAGUGUAGAGGUGAAAUUCGUAGAUAUUCGCAAGAACACCAGUGGCGAAGGCGGCUCACUGGGUCAUUACUAACGCUGAGGCACGAAAGCGUGGGGAGCAAACAGG